rnacentral:rRNA from 1 species
AACGAACGCUGGCGGCAGGCUUAACACAUGCAAGUCGAACGCCCCGCAAGGGGAGUGGCAGACGGGUGAGUAACGCGUGGGAACCUUCCCUAUAGUACGGAAUAUACCAGGGAAACUUGGAGCAAUACCGUAUACGCCCUUCGGGGGAAAGAUUUAUCGCUAUAGGAUGGGCCCGCGUAGGAUUAGCUAGUUGGUGAGGUAAUGGCUCACCAAGGCGACGAUCCUUAGCUGGUUUGAGAGAAUGACCAGCCACACUGGGACUGAGACGCGGCCCAGACUCCUACGGGAGGCAGCAGUGGGGAAUCUUGGACAAUGGGCACAAGCCUGAUCCAGCCAUGCCGCGUGAGUGAUGAAGGCCUUAGGGUUGUAAAGCUCUUUUAGCAGGGAAGAUAAUGACUGUACCUGCAGAAUAAGCUCCGGCUAACUUCGUGCCAGCCGCCGCAGUAA